AAAAAACAGAAUAAGUGCUGUAAAUGUUUGCUCAUUCUGUCCCUUUGUGUAUUACACUAGAUUCUCUCCAAAUCCCCGGUGAGGGUAGUGCCUGUCCAGAAGGACUGUUAAACUUGUAAAGCACAUUUUCUUCCAAGUGUGAUUUCCAAGAUGAGGCUGUACAAACUGCAGACAGUGCUCUUAAAGCCUCCCAUGGGGUUUGGUGUCACUGGUGUUGUUCUGCUUGGACCUGCUGUUGGAGGCAGGAGAGCAAAGCACCUCCGAGGAGGCGCAGGCGGUAGCACACUGCAGCCCACAGCCCCGCUGAUGGCCAGUGCCGCUGAUUCUGGCAGAGGAGGAAACUGUUUCACUGAUUGCUUUAGAAGAAACUUACAUACUUUGAUACAAACCUCUCCCUUCUGACCACAGCAACUCCUGAAGUGAAGACAACCAGCUUUACAGACAGGGUAUAGAUGAGGAAUGCUUUUCAGGAGCACACAUUUGGGCAGGUGGUGAUUGGUGCUGAGCAAGCCUCAGCAUCAGAUUACUGUGUCUUGGAUCCCAGCUCUUACUUCGCUAGUGUCACAUCUCUCUCAGCUAGUAAUGACAGCCUAAUUUAUUUGAUCCCUCUAUGUGACACUCUUUGAACUCCUCUACAGAGAAGGACUUAAUUCAGCAGGUGUGUUCAUACUGCCCCAUCGUGCAUGGUGAUUACCUAGCCCAAGACACAUACAGAAGCAGUCACAAUUAAGAAUCAGUUUUCUAGGUACCAGUCUUGUGUUUGGGCAAAUAAACUGCAGCUGUCCCAUUAAAAUUUUUAGUUUGGGUACUUAAACCUUAACAGUAGGUUUUAUGCAGAAGACUCUUAAGGCCCCAAGCAACUUGAUCUAACUUUUAAGUUAGCCCUGCUUUUAAAGGGACUUUGGACCAGGCACCCCACAAAGGUCCCUGACAGGUCUAUUUUUACAGUAAAUGUGUGUUGCUGUGCUGUUCUAUAUUGUUUGCUUUUCUAUUGAAUUUAAAAGGAAACUUGGUUUACUUUCUUGUAUUCUAUUUAAAAGAUCUACCAAAGGAGUGCUAAAGGGAACAGACAGAACUGUGUAUGCAAAAGUUGGAGUUGCACUCAGUAACGACACAUGUAGGGUUUUAUGCAGACAGUAACAAGUACCAGCGCAGCUGUUGUGCGUGGUCAGUGCACACAGAGAGGGAUGGAUUAGGUUGUGUUUUUGCUGACUGGCUCAGAACACAAACAAACUACCUUCAAAACCACCUCCUUGAAAAUCAUUUUGCUUUACUUACCUGCCAAAACCUGAGCUCAAGGUUCUGUGGUUUCCCUUGUAAGAGUUGAUUACACCAUUAAGCUACAUCAUCAACUGUCGCAGGAGAAACACUGAGCCAUGAACUUGGGUCCUAGCAGGUACAAAGCCUUUAAUUUCACCUUGGAAAAAAAUAAGAUAUUUUUGAUCACCCAGUUUUUAAGACUUGACUUUGGAUGGGUUUUAUGGGGUUGGGUUUAGGAAUUUUUUAAUGCAUGCGCGUGAGAGUACAGAAUGAAGGAAAAACAAAAGACAAACACCAGAUUCUCGUGAUGUGUUUUGAUGUCUGAGGUUCAAAUGGGGUUUUUUUGUCAAAUUUUGUCUCUCUGGCAGGAUCUGAAUGGUGUCAGAGGGGACACAGGACUUGCUACAGUUGGUUACGUCUCAGUAGUGCUGUUAUCUGUAAGUUUGGGUCAGUUGAUGCAUACAAGACAUACUUUAUGCGCCUUCAAAAGAUAACAGUGAUGAAAUUUUGGUCAUACAGUUAUUUAAUCACCCCCCCGUUUGGACUUGGUGAGGUACUAAAAGUUCUUAAGAGUUUCUUUCAACCAGUUUAUGAAAGUAAGCUUCCUUUUAUUUAUUAUAGGUUUUAGACUAUCGUCUAGUAACUCAUGUUAAAUUAGCUGACUGCACCCCAUUUGCAAGCUGAUUCUACAAAGAGCUACUGCAAAUGAUUCACUUCCUGAAAUUCUUUUUCUAGGUUCAAGAAAGCAAACUCUUUGAUGGGACUGACCUCUUUCAAAAACUGUAUUUAUAAUUGGCAAAGCUAAUUAAGUAACAAAGUAGAAGAAACUGCUGAUUAGCGCUGCAGUACUACUGCAAAAAAAUCUCAUUUGCAUUAAUUUAAAAGAUCAAUUUGUUUUAGCUGCAAUUAUGUCCUUCUAAAAGACUGUGAAUGCUGGGUAUUCACUUAACCUGCACAACUGCUUAUGGAAGGGAAAUGUUCAUUUCAAGUACGUGAGGAAAGUGAAUUGUAAAUGUGCAUGUGUCUGCUUCUGACUAAGACUUGUACCACUGUACGCCACGGUUUGCUGUUUGUCUCUAGGGGAAGUAGACACAAGUACUGGACAUCUGGCUACGCUGUACUAACAGUUAAAUGCUAACAAUUUCACAGAACUACCUGUGACUGUGUUGCACAACUAAACCUAAACUUUGUCAGAGUAAUUGUCUUAAUUCAUAAGACACAAAGAAAUGGAGGAUAAAAAGUAACUGGAACGCUUAUUUUUUCCAAAUAACUCCAUGGUUUAAGUAUGGAAGUUCUGUGACGCAGCUCUCUGGCCGAUGGUUGGUUUGUAGUGCUGACCAGAGCUGCAGCGAGCAGAGGAGCACAAAAAGCAGUGUAUGUAAGGGAGCCGCAAAACUUCCUCCCUCAUCAUAAAGCUUGAGGGACCAACUCUCAUUCAGGUGAGAAGCACCCGAGUUCAAGACAACUUUUCUUACUGGUGUUGGAGCCUGUCACCAAGAACUGUGACCCAGUGUCCAGCAGUGGAGACUGGUAAAAUUUGCAUUUAAAUCUUGUUUCUUAGCUGUGUUGUAAUGUGUUCUCCUGUGUCAGGGUCUAUUCAGGGUUUAAAGACAAAAAUGGGCUUAUUCCAGUGCUUUGCUUGAAGGUGACAAUCACCUUUGUGAGAUGAGAUUAUCUGUGUGUGUUUCAUGAAGCCUUUCUGAGCAGAAGCUUGUGUGGCUUCCAGCACUGUGGCAGGGUCCAGACUGUUAUAUCCAGCUUAUUAAUUGUUCUAUAAUUAUAAAUGCCUUGCUCAUUAUUUGUACCAAGUAUGUUCUUCUAGUCUGAUGUUUUACAUAUACUAUACUUAACAUGUAAGAGAUAUUUAAGAACUAGUUGUUCUGCUGGUUUUAUGGCCUAAUUAAUUUAGUAAUGUGAACUACUUUUAUUUAGAAACUAGAGGAGUGCUGAUGAAGAAAUAAAUCUCUGGAUAGCUUACAUUGCCAAUUUAAUUGUCUGCAAAGCUUGAUCAAGGUUUAUUAUUGAAAAAUCUGAGAACGGAUCAGUUAUAGGCUGUACUCUGUUUUGCUGUGUAUAUCAUUAACACUUGUUAGCUAGACAGUGCUCCACAGCUUCUGUGCUAUUUAACAUUUAACUGUCUUUAAGGCCCAGAGUCCAUUAAUGGCUUUACAUUUUAUUGAACUUACUGGCAAUUUUUAUGUUUACCAGUCCCUUGCAGAGAUGGGAGGACAGGCCCUCUUGGCCUCUCAUGGAAGUGACCAUUUCUCUAAUGUGUAAGCAUGUCUACAUGAUUUACACAUGCAGAUCCAUGUUUCCCUGCAGAUCUGCAAUAAAGCGAAUGGAAAUUCUGGUCUAACAGAGGUUUUUUUCAUCUUACUACUUAUAUGUUAUAUAUAUACACAUAGAUAUUUGUAAUCCCUCAUAACAUAUUGCAGAAAACUGAAAGCCACAUUUAGUAGGCAAAAAGUCUUAUGUAUAUUCUGUUACCACCACUUAAGAAUAUUUUCCAUUUAUCUCAUAUUGAGGUGCUGCACAUACACAUAGAUAGCAGAAGUAAUACUCAAAUCUGUACUGAUUAUUUGAUGGGUCUUUAUCUAUCAGUCAUGUAUUUGUCAGUGGAAUUUAACUGUAACUCUUCAGAGAAUAAAACAAAAUACCCCAAAAGUAAUUUGGUGACAGAUUGUCUUGAAAGACCACUUGAAAACACAAGGGGUUUUUUUGGGGGGGGUAGGGGGUGUUUAAUUUUUUUUUUUAAAAGAGCUCCAAGCCUGCUUUUGGAACCAUAAAAUAGAAUGUUGCACCCACAUAUAGAUUUGCAUUUGCAAGCUUGAUUGUAAGGCCAAAUUACCUUACUCUUGCUUUCCAAAAAUCCGUUUCACAUGUACCAAAUUCAUAUUUUCGAUAUGUGGAUAGAAAUGCCUGGAAAUUUUGCAGGUUCUUGAAUGCACAACGCAUGACGAUGUAACAAAUUCUUAUUUUUAAUAUAAAUUAAACCCUGACUUUAUAGCUAAAAUUCAAUUUCUUUGUUCAAAACUGAUACAGAGAAGACUUCAAGGCAGCCUCAAGUAAUAUGUUCAACUAAGUGUCCAACUAUACCAUGCAGUGUACUGUACUUUGUAAAAAUGCCAACAUAACCUGUGCCUGUAUAAAGUCCCAUUGCCAUUAUGGGUGUUAACUGAAGCAUCUUCACAGGUUCACUCAUUCAAAUAACUUUACCUCUUUAGUAUAUUUUGGUAUUGAACAGCUAGAACAUCUUUUAUAGUUAGUCAUGGUAAUAACAUAUUUAGUCCAUGAAACUAACCUUCAAGUUAGAGAAGGUGCAAAAAGGAUUCUCACAUUCAUUAAGUGCUGCUCUACAACAUACAAAGCUCAUUAAUUUCUCUCUACUGGCAUUAUUAUUUAACGGUAUAGGUAAUCAAGAAAUUUAUCUUAAGACUUCUGCAAAUUAAGGGGUUCUUGUAUUUCUCCUAAGUCCACUAGCUCAAACCAGAGAUACCUGUUUCUUGAUAUUAAACACUCCUUAAAAGUAAUGCUGUGCUUGUAUCACUGACAGAUACGAAGCCAUAUUCCUAGUAAUGCCUGAUGUGCUAUUUAAUUCCUCUCUGUACUUCUGAGCUUGUUUUUUUAGCUGUAUUGAAUUCUGCCAGCUUUCUAGACUGGGUAAUUAGUUCUUGGGUUGGGAGUGGUGUUUUAAACUUUAUGGGCUUUUUAUUUGAAGAAAACUACAUUUCCUUUUGUUGCUGUCCCUGAUAGGGCUGUGGCCAGGGACCUGGCUGCCUGCAGAAGGCCCGUCAGACAAGCUGUCUGUCUGGAUACCCUUUCCUGCAGUGCUCGAAGUUUCUUGUCCUAUGAGCCUGUCCCGCACUUACACCUUUUACAAGGUUAAAACUUCUUAGCCUCACUUGAAGACUCUCUUGGGAUUGACAGAAUAUUCACCUGUGUUUGGAGCUGCUGUCACUUACAUCUGUCACUGUCUACAGCUGAGACAACAGAAUAUUUAUCCUGUUUCAGGGAGGGUGAAGGCAGAGGAAGACAAGGAAAGUGCAGGCAGUCACUGGUGGAUCUGUCCCUAAGCCAGAGGAUUCUCCUGAGCUCCCCAGACUGGAGCAGAGUCUGCUGGUGACUGUUAGUGACUGACUACUGCAGAAGUUUUACUAUGCAGCCUUCUUUCUUCCUCUCUCAGGCUGCCUUGGUCUCAAUAUAUCACAAUGUCACAGGUGAACUAAAAAGAGUGUUCUCUCCAAUUUUUUAUGCAACAUAUGCCAUUCCAAUGGAAAAGUGGGAAACCAUUAGUUUAUAUCCUCCACUAUCUAGGGCAGGCAGGUGAAUUGUAUUUUCCAAACUUCUUAACUCAAAAUCAGAUUUUCUCUUCAACGCUGAAAAGUAUAUCUUGUAAAGUCUUUUAUGAGUUUGUGAAUUUGCAGUCUCCUGCUACAGAGAGAACGUGUGCAUUUUGUACAUCUUUCAAUGACAUCUACUGUAACCACUCUGUAGAAAAAAUACUGCAUGUAAAGGUUUUUGCCUUAUAGCAGAAUGUGCUGCUUAUAAUCCCCUUAUUGACUAAACCUGAUGGAAUAAUUUUCAGUGUCUCUAUCCAGAAAGUAGAAAAGAUUUAAGUCUAAAAGCUGAACAUCCAAACAUAAAUUAUAGUCAGUUGAGAAAAAGAAGUCAACUCAAACUGGCUUUAGAAUUUCCUGUGCAGCCUUAAUGGAGUGCCUGACAGUGCCUCGACCCAUCAACCAAUUUAUGCACAGGAUCACAGUCAUUUGCAUUAGUCAUAAAUAAAUACGUAUCGUACGGUGUGUCCCCGUGCGCCCAGAUCUAUACUAAACCAGAACUGGGAUCUGUGGCUCUCAAAGAACGACAGGAAAGAGCCUCGAAGAAAGACUGCCUGCCGCUGUGCAGGGGUGGGGGAGCGCACCAAACGCCCCGCGGGGUGGGGACGGUGCCCCAGGGCUCUGCGCCUGCUCGGAACAGCGCAGCUUUACACCCCCCCGCCCCCCGAGGGGAAGAGGAAGGGGCUUUCAUAAGCACUCUGCUAAUUAAAAAACAAAGGCUCAAAAGCACGAGCUGAAGACAUUAACAUAAUUAGAAUUUCCGUGGAAAGUGCCAAGCAUGGAAAUACAUCCAAAGCAGCUUUUCUCCCAGAUUUCACAUUUCCUCCAACUUUUUUGACUUUAGGGGCCGUUUUUUUUUUGAGUGGCAGCAUUGAUGUAAACCGCCAAGCAGAGUCAUUUUGAGUUAAUCAUAAUAGAGGCAAAUAUUUGUGACAACCACUAGGAGAUAAAAUAAAUACCCUUGCAGCUUCCUAGUCAAUUCCCAGCUACAGUAGAAACACUAGUAUAUUAAAUAUGGUCCGAAAUAAAAUAGUAAGGAAAAUAUGAUUAUUCGGUCUAAUUUGGUGUUUCACAGAUGGACAAGGACUAUGCUGACAGGAAAACUACUUGACUUCUGAAAUAUUACAAGCCCUAUAAUUCUACAUAAAAACAUUCCUUUGUGUGGCCAAAUACUGUAGCUACUUUUAGACUGUUUCAGUUUCAAGGGUAUAAUAUUGUGGUGAGUCGUGGUGAGCAGCCACGUGGCAGUCCUGCAGGAAGACAACACUGAGUGUUCAUUUUAGCCUGCAACAUGGAUCUUGGCAGAAAGGUUCUGCUUCCAUCAAACCAAAUUAACACUUCGCAAAUAAAACAUAAUUUUUGCUGCUUAAUACAGAAGAAACUUCUAAAUUCACAUUUACAAAGAAAAUAUAUGUAAGCAAAUAAGCCAGAGUGGCUCCUUCACCAUAAGCCUGGCUUACGUUCACCUCAACUGUUACACAUUAAUAGCCCUGUAUUACUAACACAUUCACCGAAUCACCCUUCUACAGAGAGCUACUUCAGAAUCUGCUUUCUAAAAAUCAUUGUACAGUCUUAGUUGUAUCAUGGACGAUUCCUCUAUGUCUGUGGAAAUUUACAGGAAGGUAAUAUCUAAAUAAAUUUGUAAGUUCCCAGUGUUUUAAAAUAGGAUAAUUAUUUCAAGAAGAAAAAGUUGUAUGUGAUACCCUGUUAAACUCUGAUGUUACCAGAGGUAAAAUUAAAACAGAACAUAUUUGUUGUUUAAUAAAGUGUCCCAAUUAUAUAAUUUUGACAGAAAUUAAAUUUUUCAAUAUUAUGCUGAAAUAUGCAAAAUAUAUUCCAAUGCUCAGUACAUUUGCAAAGGUUAAGUAAUCAAACUAAUCAAACAUUUGGAAGCUAGGGGCAGAUUCUGAUCCCUGUUACACCACUGAACAUUGCAUUUUAUUAGCCAGCGGGGGGGGGAGGGCAUAAAAAGCUCAUUACAGAUGAGAAAGAGGCUUUUUUCCGUAAAGGGGAAAGCCUGCUAAGGGUGUGUUUGGAAUUCAAAAUGCCAGUUUCUACUGCUAUGUAUUUGCAUUUGUUCCCUACGUGUAAAUUAAAUAAAUAAGUGCUAAACUGACAGCUAUGAAUUUUUAUCUUCAGUCAAGAGUACUGACUGUGUCAAGUACACAGAAGUACUUGACAUCAAGUACUUUUUAUUAAAAGAUUUCAU